rnacentral:lncRNA from 1 species
ACAAAAUUCCAACCCAACGGUGUUCAUGUUAACCAACGGCUACGGCUGCAGCUUGGCUGGCGCAUUUCUCUCACUAGACCUGAAUUUUUAAAGGACCGAAAUGCCCAUCGUAAUUUUGGAUAUUUGUCCAAAGGAUGCUCUUUGUAUAGAGCCUAGGCUCUAAACAAUCAAAUUACAGCCUACCUUCAAAUAGUGUUUAGAAAUGUGGUUUGAAUAUUGAAAAUUUUCGUGAUAGCCUUAAAAUAUAUUUUCAUAUCUAUUUAUAAAGUUCAAAACUUCAAAAAUAGUGUAGAUUGAGUAGAUCUAUGA